CAGUCGCCGCGGGAAUACGAAGGGUGCAAGCGUCACUCGGAAUUACUGGGCGUAAAGCGUGCGUAGGUGGUGGUUUAAGUCCGUUGUGAAAGCCCUGGGCUCAACCUGGGAAUUGCAGUGGAUACUGGGUCACUAGAGUGUGGUAGAGGAUAGUGGAAUUUCCGGUGUAGCAGUGAAAUGCGUAGAGAUCGGAAGGAACAUCUGUGGCGAAGGCGACUAUCUGGGCCAACACUGACACUGAGGCACGAAAGCGUGGGGAGCAAACAGGAUUAGAUACCCGUGUAGUCCCUGUCUCUUAUAC
rnacentral:rRNA from 1 species